GACGAACGCUGGCGGCGUGCUUAACACAUGCAAGUCGAACGGAAAGGCCCUGCUUUUGUGGGGUGCUCGAGUGGCGAACGGGUGAGUAACACGUGAGUAACCUGCCCUUGACUUUGGGAUAACUUCAGGAAACUGGGGCUAAUACCGGAUAGGAGCUCCUGCUGCAUGGUGGGGGUUGGAAAGUUUCGGCGGGUGGGUAUGGACUCGCGGCUUAUCAGCUUGUUGGUGGGGGAGUGGAUUACCAAGGCUUUGACGGGUAGCCGGCCUGAGAGGGUGACCGGCCACAUUGGGACUGAGAUACGGGCCAGACUCCUACGGGAGGCAGCAGUGGGGAAUAUUGCACAAUGGGCGGAAGCCUGAUGAAGCAACGCCGCGUGUGGGAUGACGGCCUUCGGGUUGUAAACCGCUUUCGCCUGUGACGAAGCGUGAGUGACGGUAAUGGGUAAAGAAGCACCGGCUAACUACGUG
rnacentral:rRNA from 1 species